CACUCCUGCGGGAGGCAGCAGUGGGGAAUAUUGGACAAUGGGCGCAAGCCUGAUCCAGCCAUGCCGCGUGAGUGAUGAAGGCCCUAGGGUUGUAAAGCUCUUUCACCGGUGAAGAUAAUGACGGUAACCGGAGAAGAAGCCCCGGCUAACUUCGUGCCAGCAGCCGCGGUAAUACGAAGGGGGCUAGCGUUGUUCGGAUUUACUGGGCGUAAAGCGCACGUAGGCGGACUAUUAAGUCAGGGGUGAAAUCCCGGGGCUCAACCCCGGAACUGCCUUUGAUACUGGUAGUCUUGAGUUCGAGAGAGGUGAGUGGAAUUCCGAGUGUAGAGGUGAAAUUCGUAGAUAUUCGGAGGAACACCAGUGGCGAAGGCGGCUCACUGGCUCGAUACUGACGCUGAGGUGCGAAAGCGUGGGGAGCAAACAGGAUUAGAUACCCCAGUAGUCCCAU
rnacentral:rRNA from 1 species